rnacentral:rRNA from 1 species
GUGGGGAAUUUUGGACAAUGGGCGCAAGCCUGAUCCAGCCAUGCCGCGUGCGGGAAGAAGGCCUUCGGGUUGUAAACCGCUUUUGUCGGGGAAGAAAUACUCCGGGCUAAUACCCUGGGGGGAUGACGGUACCCGAAGAAUAAGCACCGGCUAACUACGUGCCAGCAGCCGCGGUAAUACGUAGGGUGCAAGCGUUAAUCGGAAUUACUGGGCGUAAAGCGUGCGCAGGCGGUUCUGCAAGACAGAUGUGAAAUCCCCGGGCUCAACCUGGGAACUGCAUUUGUGACUGCAGGGCUGGAGUGCGGCAGAGGGGGAUGGAAUUCCGCGUGUAGCAGUGAAAUGCGUAGAUAUGCGGAGGAACACCGAUGGCGAAGGCAAUCCCCUGGGCCUGCACUGACGCUCAUGCACGAAAGCGUGGGGAGCAAACAGGAUUAGAUACCCUAGUAGUCC